rnacentral:tRNA from 1 species
GCCGGCGUGGCGCAAUGGUAGCGCGUAGCUUUCCUACAGUGUUUGGUCAGGCUGAAGUUGCGGGUUCGAUCCCCGUCGUCGGUU